GAUGAAGAACGUAGCGAAAUGCGAUAAGUAAUGUGAAUUGCAGAAUUCAGUGAAUCAUCGAAUCUUUGAACGCACAUUGCGCCCGCCAGUAUUCUGGCGAGCAUGCCUGUUCGAGCGUCAUUUCAACCAUCAAGCCCCAGGCUUGUGUUGGAGCCCUGCGGCUGCCGCAGCCUCCCAAAACCAGUGGCGGGCUCGCUAUCACACCGAGUGCAGUAGUUUACUCUUCGCUCAGGGCGUGUGGCGGGUGCUAGCCGUGAAACCCCCAACUUCUCAAGGUUGACCUCGGAUCAGGUAGGAAUACCCGCUGAACUUAAGCAUAUCAAAAGCGGAGGA
rnacentral:misc_RNA from 1 species